CAGAGUCAGACCCCAGCAUACGAGCUCCUCCUCCUAGAGUUUAAACUUGGGAGAAGUGCUGGGGGGAAGCAAGCACCUGGAAGUCUGCACAGUUGGCACACAGAGCUGUGAUUCUCACCUGGGCUCCUUGGGAUGCUGCUCUGGGAAAGUUCCUUCCUCUUGCCGACCUCAGGUCAUCACACUUAAGGGGGAAGAGAUGAACAAAGACACCUUCAGAGGAGAGAAGCCAAAACCAGGUCCGACCACCACACCUGCCAGGGUUUUGUGUCUAGGGU
rnacentral:lncRNA from 1 species